AUUGAACGCUGGCGGCAGGCCUAACACAUGCAAGUCGAACGAGUGGCGGACGGGUGAGUAAUGUCUGGGAAACUGCCCGAUGGAGGGGGCUAACUACUGGCAACGGUAGCUAAUAACGCAUACCAUCGGAUGUGCCCAGAGGGGAGUAGCUCGUAGGUGGGGUACCGGCUCACCUAGGCGACGAUCCACAGCGGGUCGGAGAGGAUGACCAGCAACACUGGAACUGAGACACGGUCCAGACUCCUACGGGAGGCAGCAGGGGGGAAGAUUGCACAAGGGGCGCAAGCCUGAUGCAGCCAUGCCGCGUGUAUGAAGAAGGCCUGCGGGUUGUAAAGUACUUUCAGCGAGGAGGCGUUACUCGCAGAAGAAGCACCGGCUAACUCCGUGCCAGCCGCCGCGGUAAUAC
rnacentral:rRNA from 1 species